UUGUCUGGCCUCAUAACAAAGCUCCUUAUGUCCUUUCCGUGAUAUGGGGGCCCAUGGCUGGACGUACAUUAACCCUGUCUGUUUAGGAGGGAUGCACACAAAGGCGCACUCCCUUAAAGGCUCGACGGGACACU